AAACUUUCAACAACGGAUCUCUUGGUUCUCGCAUCGAUGAAGAACGCAGCGAAACGCGAUAGGUAAUGUGAAUUGCAGAAUUCAGUGAAUCAUCGAAUCUUUGAACGCACAUUGCGCUCCCUGGUAUUCCUAGGAGCAUGUCUGUCCGAGCGUCAGUA
rnacentral:rRNA from 1 species